AUUAUUACUUUAAAUUUUAUACCUAUAUCUAAAUUUCAAGUUCUAAACAUUAAAUCUAAGUGGGGCUUAUUGGAAUGGGGAUUUGGAAAAAUACUAGGGAUUUUAUAUAUAAUGGGAUUUAUCUGAAUCUAUCUGGAUUUUAAGGAUUUUACCAGAGAUUUUAACGAGGAAUUUGUUAGAAUUUUUUUUAAAAAUAUAUAUAUUUGCUAAGGUAUUCUUUGCUCCACCGAAUGGAAGAAACCAAAGUUCAGAAUGAUUCUUCUACAUGCUAUCGUUUGAGACUACAAAAAGAGCUGUGCUUUUGCUUAUAUGAAUAUUCAUAGAUUCUCAUCAGGAUGGAGGGGGUUUAGAGAUGAAUCUCAACGGAGGCAGCUCUAGAGCAGAAGAAGAUGACUUCGGUGAUAUAGUAUGACUCUUUUUGUUACAUUCUACAACUGUUGUUCAUCUUUUUGUAUAUGAUCUGUAACUAUGCAAGCUAUGCAUUUUUGUUUCAGUUAUUUAGAAUUUAGUGAGCAUCAAAUGAGCAAGAUCAAAAAGAAUGAGGAAAUAUCAGAAAAGAGGGAGAAAGAGAUUCAGCAGGUUAGUGCUUGCAACUCUUUAAUGCUCUUAAUUGUUAACCUUUGUCAUUUUCUCCUUGUUUUGUGUCAUCUGCAGGUUGUUGAAUCCGUAAACGAGCAGAAUAUAUAACCCCUUCUCUCUCUUGCUCUCAAUGUUUCAUGAAUAAAUGUUAUGUGAAUCCCACGGGCAGAGCGUACAUAGAGAAACGGAGGUAUGGUUAUGUGUGCGUAACAAACGGAGGUAGUCUUGGCACUGUCAAGGACCAAAGCUGAUGAAGAAGAAACAUACGACGACGUUGAAUUUAUUAAACAAAGAAGAUGAAAAUAAUUGUUUUAUUUAUUUAUUUUGAAAUACCAUCUCAUUAGAUGGUAUUUGUUUCAUUUGGUUAAAUACCAUCUAAUGAGAUGGUAAAUAUUAUAAGUGAAAUCCUUGUUUUCCAAUAAGGAGAGAUUUGAAAGAGUUUGAAUAAAUGAUUAAUUCAAUAAGGGUGGAUUUGAUAGAACUUUUAUAAAUACUCAAUACAAUAAGGGGAGAUUUGAUCAAAAACUAGGAUUCUCUAAAAUCAUCAAUACAAUAAGCCCCCCUAAAUUCUAUUUUUAACCAAUUAUUUUUAGAGACAUGUAUCUUUAAACCAUUUAAUGAAUGUUUGAUCAUUUUUCUCCUUAUUCAUUCUGCUUCUCUUUCCACCAUCAAUGUGUACUCGGGAGGAGAUAACCAAAACCGAAUCACGGGAAACGAUGACUACUCGCCGGAAAACGUACAUGAUGAGAUCGAUUAGAGGCUGAGGAAGAGUACAAAAGAAGACUAUCGGUGGAGUUAUGCGGAUUCAUCAUCACCAUGUUUUUCUCCUCCAUACAAGAGAAACGAUUCAACAUUAGAACUUGCUUGGGAGAGUAUGGGUGGAAGAAAACCAGUAGCGAACCGAAAUUUAUAAACCAAACCACAAUCAAAACGAGCCGCUAAACCUCUGGUUUCAUUGAUUAGACAUUGCUAAACCGAAUCUAGACAAUAAUAGAACCGAUUUUACUGUAUAAUUUACUAAACCUUGAGAUUUGUAAAAUUUCCUUAAUUGGUAUGGUUCUUAAGCGACAUGUACUUCAAGGUAUGAAAUCAGAUCUCUGAAACCGGAACCUAGAGUUAAGAAAUCAAUGAUCAUUGAAGUUUGUGGUAUACUUUGGUCCUUGGCGUACUGCAUGUGUGUUAAACAUGUGACUAGAGAGAAGCGGAUUAUCACCAACAAAUAGAAAAAGGAUUUUAGCGGGGAUGCGUUACUAAUUGGUGGUGGUGCGAGGACUAUCUUUAUAAGUCUCUGAUAGCCUUUCUACAUGAUGUUAAGCUGGAUGAAAAACACAAGCAAAAAUUAAGAACAA